CUUAAGGUCUUGCCCUGUCCAAGAUGCUUACUCUUGGUGACCGUCCUGCUCGCACUCGAGGGCCGCUUACCGUCUCUCAGGAAUACUGUCGUCAGCACAGGCUGUUCCUUGUAUGUUCCUGUGACCUUCAGGAACCACCGUCAAGAGAAAGCACGAAGAUACCUGGGCACUUAUCAUCAACAGAGAUUUAUAACGGAAACAGUGCUUCUUAAUCAACAGACCCUCUCACAGCUAUCAGAAAAGUACAUAUAUAUCCAUAUUUCACUAAGUCUGAAUAUCAGACAUGUACAGAGGUAUGGAUUGGUCAGGCUUCCUGCUGCUGGGACAAAAUGCCUGACCCAUAGAACCCAUGGGGUCCCAAGACAGGGACAUCAUGGCAGAGGGGUGUGGUGGCCAAAGCUGCUCACUUUGCAGCGUCUGGGAAGCAAUGCAUGGCAGGACCACGUGCAGGUCAGAUGUGCUCUCCAGGGCCCUGGCCAGCAGUGCAUGCAGCUGUGGACAUCAGCGGCUAAUCCAUUGACUGGCACAGCACACCCAUGACCCAGUUGCGUCUCUCAAUCCCAUCAAGCUGACAGCUAAGACCCACUGGCCCAGGGUGGCAGCUGUAACCUCUCUUUUAAAUAAGUUC
rnacentral:lncRNA from 1 species